rnacentral:rRNA from 1 species
GAUGAACGCUAGCGGCAGGCCUAAUACAUGCAAGUCGAGCGGCAAGUUGAGAAGCAAUUCGAGACCUAGAGCGGCGUACGGGUGCGUAACGCGUAUGCAACCUACCUCAUACAGGGGGAUAGCCCGGAGGAAUCUGGAUUAAUACCCCAUAGUACAUAUAGAGGGCAUCUGAAAUAUGUUAAAGAUUCAUCGGUAUGAGAUGGGCAUGCGUCUGAUUAGCUAGUUGGCGGUGUAACGGACCACCAAGGCGACGAUCAGUAGGGGUUCUGAGAGGAAGGUCCCCCACACUGGCACUGAGAUACGGGCCAGACUCCUACGGGAGGCAGCAGUAGGGAAUAUUGGGCAAUGGUCGGAAGACUGACCCAGCCAUGCCGCGUGCAGGAAGAAGGCCCUCUGGGUUGUAAACUGCUUUUAUCUGGGAAGAAAAGGCCCGUGCGCGGGACAUUGCCGGUACCAGAUGAAUAAGCACCGGCUAACUCCGUGCCAGCCGCCGCGGUAAGAC